UAAAGCGCCCAUGUUAUGCUCAUUUCAGGUUCAUAAUUGUAUUUUCUGGUUGUACCACAAUAGGUUUACAUUGAUUAAUUUUCAAAAAACACCAUAUUUUUGUUGUACCGCACAUUGCUGCAGAUCCUGUUUUCACCCUGUGUCUUUGGGUCUCUGUUUUAGCUCUAGAGUGAGACAUCUCACUAGUAAACCGUAUCUCACUCAAAACCACAUGGAAAGUUUUUUUUCCAAGUUUGUAUGCAUGUGAAAGCACCAGACACACAAAAUAACACCCC